UUUGAAAAUCGGAUUUUGUUGCGCCACUAGUGACAGAUUUAUCUCAUUACUGAGGGUGUUUAUGUUUUUU
rnacentral:snoRNA from 1 species